rnacentral:rRNA from 1 species
UACACUCCUACGGGAGGCAGCAGUGGGGAAUUUUGGACAAUGGGCGAAAGCCUGAUCCAGCAAUGCCGCGUGAGUGAAGAAGGCCUUCGGGUUGUAAAGCUCUUUUGUCAGGGAAGAAACGGUGAGAGCUAAUAUCUCUUGCUAAUGACGGUACCUGAAGAAUAAGCACCGGCUAACUACGUGCCAGCAGCCGCGGUAAUACGUAGGGUGCAAGCGUUAAUCGGAAUUACUGGGCGUAAAGCGUGCGCAGGCGGUUUUGUAAGUCUGAUGUGAAAUCCCCGGGCUCAACCUGGGAAUUGCAUUGGAGACUGCAAGGCUAGAAUCUGGCAGAGGGGGGUAGAAUUCCACGUGUAGCAGUGAAAUGCGUAGAUAUGUGGAGGAACACCGAUGGCGAAGGCAGCCCCCUGGGUCAAGAUUGACGCUCAUGCACGAAAGCGUGGGGAGCAAACAGGAUUAGAUACCGGGUAGUCCCAUG